rnacentral:rRNA from 1 species
AGAGUUUGAUCCUGGCUCAGGAUGAACGCUGGCGGCGUGCUUAACACAUGCAAGUCGAACGAGCCUUCGGGCUAGUGGCGGACGGGUGAGUAACGCGUGGGAAUCUGCCCUCAGGAGGGGGAUAACGGCCGGAAACGGCCGCUAAUACCCCAUAUGCCGAGAGGUGAAACGAAAUCCGCCUGGGGAUGAGCCCGCGUCUGAUUAGCUAGUUGGUGUGGUAAUGGCGCACCAAGGCAUCGAUCAGUAGCUGGUCUGAGAGGAUGAUCAGCCACACUGGGACUGAGACACGGCCCAGACUCCUACGGGAGGCAGCAGUGGGGAAUUUUCCGCAAUGGGCGCAAGCCUGACGGAGCAACGCCGCGUGAGGGACGAAGGCCUCUGGGCUGUAAACCUCUUUUCUCAAGGAAGAAGACAUGACGGUACUUGAGGAAUAAGCCACGGCUAAUUCCGUGCCAGCAGCCGCGGUAAUACGGGAGUGGCAAGCGUUAUCCGGAAUUAUUGGGCGUAAAGCGUCCGCAGGCGGCCUUGAAAGUCUGUUGUUAAAGCGUGGAGCUCAACUCCAUUUCAGCAAUGGAAACUACAAGGCUAGAGUGUGGUAGGGGCAGAGGGAAUUCCCGGUGUAGCGGUGAAAUGCGUAGAUAUCGGGAAGAACACCAGUGGCGAAGGCGCUCUGCUGGGCCAUAACUGACGCUCAUGGACGAAAGCCAGGGGAGCGAAAGGGAUUAGAUACCCCUGUAGUCCUGGCCGUAAACGAUGAACACUAGGUGUCGGGAGAAUUAACCCUUUCGGUGUCGUAGCCAACGCGUUAAGUGUUCCGCCUGGGGAGUACGCACGCAAGUGUGAAACUCAAAGGAAUUGACGGGGGCCCGCACAAGCGGUGGAGUAUGUGGUUUAAUUCGAUGCAACGCGAAGAACCUUACCAGGGUUUGACAUCCUGCGAAUCCCUUGGAAACUUGGGAGUGCCUUCGGGAGCGCAGUGACAGGUGGUGCAUGGCUGUCGUCAGCUCGUGUCGUGAGAUGUUGGGUUAAGUCCCGCAACGAGCGCAACCCACGUCUUUAGUUGCCAGCAUACAGUUGGGCACUCUAGAGAGACCGCCGGUGAUAAACCGGAGGAAGGUGUGGAUGACGUCAAGUCAUCAUGCCCCUUACAUCCUGGGCUACACACGUACUACAAUGCUACGGACAAAGGGCAGCAAACUCGCGAGAGCUAGCAAAUCCCAUAAACCGUGGCUCAGUUCAGAUCGUAGGCUGCAACUCGCCUACGUGAAGGAGGAAUCGCUAGUAAUCGCAGGUCAGCAUACUGCGGUGAAUACGUUCCCGGGCCUUGUACACACCGCCCGUCACACCAUGGAAGUUGGCCAUGCCCGAAGUCGUUACUCCAACCCGCAAGGGAGGAGGACGCCGAAGGUGGGGCUGAUGACUGGGGUGAAGUCGAAACAAGGUA